AACGCAAAUUGCGCUCGAGGCUUCGGCCAAGAGCAUGUCUGCCUCAGCGUCGGCUACUACCCUCAACUAAAUUUCAUUGGUGAAUUCCGGUGAAAGGCAGUUGGAUCUGGCCGUCCGGUUUGCCCUUUGGGUGGCCGGUCAGCUGAAAUAUAUUCACGCUUUGGGGGCCGCUUUCCUUUCGAGGAAAGGCGAGUUCCGAUUUGGUAGGUGACCUUUGCCGGUUGCAUGCCUUCGUUGCCCGCUGUGCUCCCAAAUGCGUUGUGCAGGACGCCUUUUGGCUUUCGACCUGAGGUCAGGCAAGAACACCCGCUGAACUUAA
rnacentral:misc_RNA from 1 species